ACUGCUCAGUAACACGUGGAUAACCUGCCCUAAGGAAGGGGUUAACCUCGGGAAACUGAGGAUAAUACCCUAUAGGUUACAGACGCUGGAAUGCCCUGUAACCGAAAGCUCCGGCGCCUUAGGAUGGAUCUGCGGCCGAUUAGGUCGUUGUUGGGGUAACGGCCCAACAAGCCGAUAAUCGGUACGGGUUGUGGGAGCAAGAGCCCGGAGUUGGAUUCUGAGACACGAAUCCAGGCCCUACGGGGCGCAGCAGGCGCGAAAACUUUACAAUGCGGGAAACCGUGAUAAGGGAACCCCGAGUGCCUGUAUAUGCAGGCUGUCCAGGUGUCUAAAAAACACCUGAAGAAAGGGCCGGGCAAGACCGGUGCCAGCCGCCGCGGUAAUACCGGCGGCUCGAGUGGUGGCCACCUUUAUUGGGCUUAAAGCGUUCGUAGCUGGGUUGUUAAGUCUCUUGGGAAAUCUGACGGCUUAACCGUCAGGCGUCUAAGAGAUACUGGCAAUCUUGGAACCGGGAGAGGUGAGGGGUACUUCGGGGGUAGGAGUGAAAUCCUGUAAUCCUCGAGGGACCACCUGUGGCGAAGGCGCCUCACCAGAACGGCUUCGACAGUGAGGGACGAAAGCUGGGGGAGCAAACCGGAUUAGAUACCCGGGUAGUCCCAGCCGUAAACGAUGCGCGUUAGGUGUAUCGGUGACCACGAGUCACCGAGGUGCCGAAGGGAAACUGUGAAACGUGCCGCCUGGGAAGUACGGUCGCAAGGCUGAAACUUAAAGGAAUUGGCGGGGGAGCAC
rnacentral:rRNA from 1 species